UCUGGUGUUCGGGUUGUCACGCCAGUGGCACUGCCCGGUAGCUAAGUUCGGAAUCGAUAACCGCUGAAAGCAUCUAAGCGGGAAGCGAGCCCUGAGAUGAGUCAUCCCUGACCCCUUGAGGGUCCUAAAGGGCCGUUGGAGACCACAACGUUGAUAGGUGGGGUGUGUAAGCGCAGUGAUGUGUUGAGCUAACCCAUACUAAUUACCCGUGAGGCUUAACCAUACAACACCCAAGAAGUGUUCUG
rnacentral:rRNA from 1 species